rnacentral:tRNA from 1 species
AAGGGCUAUAGCUCAGCGGUAGAGCACCUCGUUUACACACCGAGAUUGUCUACGGUUCGAACCCGUAUAGCCCUA